GCUGUGUUUGGCUAGGUUCUGGAGUGUAGAGCGGCCGCUGGGAGGUGUCGGCGCCUGCGGGCCUAGUUCUGUUCCGCUGGGGCUUGGCGUCCGGGACUGCGGCCGCGCGGUGGGCGGGGCCCUACCUACACCCGCGGUACUAUUAAAAGGAGAACUAGUCAGGGAAGACACUGUGCAGGUUAAUUUGGGAAGUGAUGGUUAACGGUUCUGGCUUGAGACUCCUUAUUUGUGUUGUAAAUUUUGGUGGGGGCAGAGAUGGAAGCUGCUCCAUUCAACAGAGUUUUCAGUCUGGAGACGUAAAGACACUUGAAUUGUAGGUACUGAUUUUGUUCCGGUGUGGUGUGCUGUUUGGCUCUGUGUGCUUCCAUUUGAGCAGUCGGUGGUGGAAUUACUGAUUUUUUUUUUUAAAACCGUCACAGUUAUUUGAAAACGCGUGGUGAAAGGAGCAGAAUGAAGGGAAAAGGGAGGGAGGAAUUCCUGGGGCUUGCCUACUUUUACCUUGAGGAGGUUCCAUUUCUAUAUCGUGGCAAAAGACACGAGAGACCUAGCCUACAAACAUAUACCAAAAAUUAUCUUUUGCCAUGUAUAUUUAUAUUAGCUGGUGUGAGUAAAAGAUAUCAAAUGAAAAUAGCUUUAGAAUGAGGCCUAACACGGAUUUAUUGCAAAUGGAAACAACUGCAAAUAUUGGAGGCAAAAACAUGGAUAGCAUGGACUGUUGAAGGCCCUGUCAUGUGCCUAAUGAUCUUGUCCAUUUUAAGCAGAGAAAAAAAUCAAGGAAACUGAAGAAAAAGAACCUUUCCCCAAAGGAGAUAGAAGAUGGGGAAGAUGAGAUGUCUGAAGAUAAGGACAAUGGCAGUAGAGAUAAGGUUGUCAUCCCUCAGAAGAACCAUAGGAAGGUUACCACUGCUCCAGGAAAUAAAGUCGGGGGAAAAAAGCAUCUGGCUCCCAUGUUUGCUGAGAAAUUAAUACCACCACGCAGGGAGGGAGCCACAGGGGCCAAGCUGCCAAGAGAUAGGAGGAGUGCCAAGCUCGAGGGGGGCCAUGAGGAGAGACGUGAGGACUCUGACGAGAAUGAAGGUAAGAACAGUGGGUUGGAUCAGGGCCAGGAAGGUAGAGACCCCUUCUGGGGACGUCCCUGGUGCUGGCUAUAAGGUGGCAAAGUUCAGCCCUGCAUGCCAUCCCACAUGGCUCUGGGACAGGUUCUGUGAAAAUCCCAGCCCUCAGAACUGUUGCCUCGGUGGUCCCCAGCCGAUUCUCCAGGCUUGGCUUGAGGAGUCUCAGUGAACAUUUGACUUCUGCUGUCCAGAAUCAGAGAAUGACCAGAAUCAAGGUUUUCUCUUUGACCUUUAUACCUUGAUUGUUUCUCUCUUUGUGCUUAUGAGCCAAGCAGGUGAAUCAUCCCCCUAACUUACUCUCAGUGAUUUUGUUUUUGUCUUGACAGAGUCUGUGUAACAUUUUAAAUGGUAUUGCUUCCAAAGCAGUAAUUCUUGGCAUUUUUUAAAAAAUACAAUGGCAAAACAUUUUAAAUUAUUUCAAAAUAAAAGUUUAAAAUGACAGUGAAUUUUUUCCCCUUAGAUUUGUGUAUAUAGUCAGAUGUAUGAGCAGUUUCUCUGAAAGAACAGUUUGUCAUUUACAUUCUUAACAAGUCUGUGAGGCAGUGAUUGAUUAGGAGGGUUUUCAUUUAGAUUCUGAAAAAGAAGUCAUGUGAGAAAAGCCUUUCCUGUGGGGGUGAAGGAAGAUGAGCAGGAUCGGGAGGGUGGUGACAAAGGCUGCCAGGAAGAGGAGGAAGAGGGAGGUCAGAACGACCUGAACCAGCUCUGGGAAGUGCUGGCCGCUAUCAGGGAAUAAGAGAGAUAAGGGAAACCCUUGGCCAGGGCUGUGGGUUUCUUUUAUGAACUUGGACUUUCUAAUUAAUUUAUAAAUGCUUUUAAAAGUGUUCUGACAGACCUAACCCAGGCGUCUGGUGGAGAACAGGCACCACGUAUGUACAGUGUUCGUGGACUUUGUAAAAGCUUCCACUUUACUCAUUAGUGGCACAGACAGAUCAUUAAGAGUGCAACAUUCUGGCUUUCACCCACAGAGUCUAUGCAAAAAACCACCUGAUAAACAGAAGAAGGAAAUGGCCAAAAGAAGGCUUUCCCUGAAGCCAAAAUACAGAAAUUAGAAGGUAACCUCUUUGCUGUGUUUUAAAGCACAAGAGACACGUGGAGAAUUUCAUAUUGGCAAAACUCAAAUCUCUGUUAGCCCAAAUGAUGAACAAAGGAGUUUUAAUUGCAGCCUGGUGUUAAAAUAUGCCAGUCUUUAAUGGAAAUUUCUUUUGACAUCAUUCUGAACUGUUUAUUUGAGUUCUUUUCUUUUUUUCUUUCUUUCUUUUUUUUUUUUUUCCCUUUUUGUAUGGCAGCUGAACCACCUGUAACUUUCAGACUAUUUGUUGGAAACCUGAAUUUCAACAAAACCGUUGCUGAACUAAAAACUGAUCUUAGUGAAUUUUUUGCUAAAAAUGAUGUCGCAGUUGACGGUGUCAGAGUCGGCUUGUCCAGGUAAAUAGAUUGUUGUUAAGAGUUUAUCAGCCCAACAGUGAUUAUUCAGGUCAGACCGUCUUGUGACUUGCUCCUCAUCCCUCAGUAGGACAUUACCUUGGUCUCUUGCAGUUCAGAGCAUUUAAAACCCUUCAGUGGCUUAUUUAGUAAAUCCAUUAUAUUAAUUUUUGCUAUCCCAUUUUUCCAACCAGAAUACUAAAGUAAUCUGAAGAUCUUCCAAGUCAUUCCAGAGACACAUUUUCGUGAUUUUUCAGCUGUGAACAAUGCCAUUUGCCUUAGAAUUAUUUUAAACUAAUCACAAAUUUAAUCAUCA
rnacentral:lncRNA from 1 species